rnacentral:rRNA from 1 species
UUGGAUGUGGACUUGGACUCUGUCGUGUCACAACGACUGGUCUUAAAUGAAUGAGUGCACCCUGCUGUUGCAGCGUCUUCAGUGUGAUAAGCAUCUUCACUGGAACAAAGUUCCCUUUUGGGACACGCAGGCAUUGUAGGCUCUGUGCUGGCAAACCGUCUUUUUUGGACAAAUCUUUGACAAUUUGACCUCAAAUCGGGUGGGACUACCCGCUGAACUUAAGCAUAUCAAUAAGCGGAGGAAAAGAAACUAACAAGGAUUCCCCUAGUAACGGCGAGUGAAGAGGGAAAAGCUCAAAUUUUGAAUCUGGUGUCUUUGGCGCCCGAGUUGUAAUCUAGAGAAGUGUUUUCUGCCUCGGACCACACAUAAAUUCCCUGGAAUGGGGUGUCAUAGAGGGUGAGAAUCCCGUUUGUGGUGUGGACUACCUUGGCUCUGUGAUACACUCUCAACGAGUCGAGUUGUUUGGGAAUGCAGCUCAAAAUGGGUGGUAAAUUCCAUCUAAAGCUAAAUAUUGGCGAGAGACCGAUAGCGAACAAGUACCGUGAGGGAAAGAUGAAAAGCACUUUGGAAAGAGAGUGAAACAGUACGUGAAAUUGUUGAAAGGGAAGCGUUUGAAGUCAGUCGCAUUGGUCGGAACUCAGCCUGGCUUCUGCCUGGUGUAUUUUCUGGCAAAUGGGUCAGUGUCAAUUUUGAUCGA